rnacentral:tRNA from 1 species
CACUAGGAAGCUAAAUACGGGUAACAGCAUUGGCCUUUUAAGCCAAAGAUUGGUGCCUCCCAACCACCUCUAGUGA